UCAGACGGUCGGAUGGCCGCUCUUUGUCGGGUUCGCUCGGCGGAGGGAGGAAAGUCCGGGCUCCACGGAAGCACGGUGCCGGGUAACGCCCGGCGGGGGCGACCCCAGGGAAAGUGCCACAGAAACACACCGCCGAGCCCAUUGUCCUUCGGGACAGUGGGCGGCAAGGGUGAAAUGGUGCGGUAAGAGCGCACCGCGCCGCCGGCAACGGCGGCGGCAGGGUAAACCCCACCGGGAGCAAGACCAAGUAGGAGCGGCAGGCGGCGCUGGCCUCGGCUAGCGUCGCCGGGCGGGCCUUCCGCGCCGCCGCUCGGGUCGGUCGCGCGAGGCGUUCGGUAACGAACGUCCCAGAUGAAUGGCCAUCCCCGCUCUCGGGCGGGACAGAACCCGGCUUACAGACCGUCUGGCAAC
rnacentral:RNase_P_RNA from 1 species